rnacentral:snoRNA from 1 species
UUUGUCAGUGAUUGUUUUUCCACAGUAAGUAUGAGUUUUAACGACCAUGAGUCCACUUCAUGCGCUACCAGCUGAGACAAA